GAACCAUUUUGGAAAAACUCAGGCUGCACCUGCACACAGAUAAGCAAUUUGUAUAAUUAGUGAAAUCCUAGGGAAAAAAAAAAGGUAUCUCCCUUUCAGGCAUAUAUGUGGUGGAAAUAUGCACAGGGCUGAGGAUGGCUUAUCAAAAACAACCCACUUUAUACAAGGAAAAUAAGUGGCACUGUGUGCUUGCCUGGAGGCAUACCCACAGCUACAUAAGAUAAGGGGAGUUGCACACACAGGUUUACUGAUAAGAGAAGUUACUCAAACUGCUACAGACAUGAGAGGAGUUUCUUAUAAAAGCUUUCGAAUUCAGAUGUAACCCAGCAAUGCACUCAGACUCCUCUCUGCUGUGGAGAGCUUUUUUUUUUUUUUUUCAUAUUAAACUUUCACUCCAACUUUAUCUUUGUGUUUACAAUUCUUAAUUUUUUUGUCUUGGAUAAAGAACAAAAAACCUGGAGUACUUCUUCAGACAACAAGAAACUUCCAAAUUAAGGUGCAUUGGCAAGAAUGCAACAUAUUUUGAUCCAUUGGCUUGGAAGGAGGGAAUUCAUCAGAAGGGAAUCAAACUUGACUUACAAAGCAAAAAGGCCCUUGGAAAACUCACUGCAUAUUUUGUGUACACAGUCCCUGUACAUGGUUUCUGAUCUGUGGUAAGUAAAAAAAUUACUUUCUAGCAGGCUGGGAAGCCCAAGUUAUCUUGGUCCCUCAAGAGAAGAGAAAUUCUCCAACUAAUAGGUAUUGGACAGUAAAAAUCCAUGGCUGGGCUUCGCUUUAAAAAGGUCUUAUCUCAGAUUCCUUCUUUGAAACAAAGUGCCAUAUAAACCAAUUUAAUAGGCAGAUGUAACAAAUAAUUAUUCUUGCUGCACUGUAUGCAAAUAACUGUCAAGUAUAGUAAAGCAAACCAGUCCUAUUAUAAUUUGUCUUUUAAUAAAAAUGGGAAACUGGAGAGACAAAAUUAUGUUUCAAAAAUGAUAGCACAUGGAUUGUUGAAUUCUAGUGUUUCCUAAUGUUUUUCUAUUUUUAUUAUUUUCCACUGCUUAAAUUAAACUCUAAUUUUUCUGGAUAUAAGUUUCCAUAUUAAGCUGUGAUUUCUUAAAGCCCUACAAACUGAAAAGUAAGUGUUUCAUCAAGUACUGCCUCUAACACAGGGCCACCACAGGAAUAAAUGUCUUCACUGCUGGUGCUGACAACUAAUAACUGAGGGUGCUGAGAAAACUUUCCCCCAAAGUCUAGUGAGUCCAUGAAAUGCAGGGUGAUUAAGAUGAUAUCUGAUACAGGAGUCAAUUCCUAAAUACAUCACUCAAGUCAAAGCCUAGAAAUCUAAGAAAGCAACCCAAACAGCCCAAAGAAACACCCUAAAUAUCAAUGUAAAAAAAUAGAAAAUAUUAAGCUGAAAAUCAUAAAAGAUAGGUGACUAAGUGAAAACUACUCAUUUUAUUCAGCCUCACACACCUCACCAAAUACUUUUGGUGUGUCUACCUCUUUUUUUAAGCCAAAUAUUAAAACAUUUUAAUGGAAAUUAUUUACUUUGCCACCCUUGUGGGAACUGCCUUACUCACUGCUAUUUGCAGUAGAACAAUAUGCUAUAGCAUCCUCAGGGUGGAAUAUCAGACAAAAAAAUCUCAAUUAUUAUAGCAUUUUCCCUAAUUAUUAUCCAGAUAGCAGGAAUAAUAGUUACUAAAAGAAAGUAACACAUGAGUUCUUCCAAACACAUGCUUCUGCCUCUCAUCAGGUAACAAAUGUUUCUAUAGCAACGAAUAGGGCUUAGUAAAAAACACUGCUAAAAACUUAAAGAAAAGGCUAAAAAGCUAAGGGAAUAUCAAAACAACCGAAUAGAUUCUUGGUUUGGAUUCAAAAUCAUAGGAUGAGUCAUCCCAUUCCUGGGACCUCUUCUAAUAAUAUACCUGGAACUAAUGUUCUUACCUUGCCUAAUUAACUUUUUUCAAAGAUUUUUAACUGAAAAUAUCAUGGCCAUUUUACAGACAACUACCCCAAAAUAUCUACAAAUGACAUUGCUCCUACAGUAAACCCAAGACCAGAAAACUCUCCAUCCCCUUGUCAGCAGGAAGUAGCCUGCAGUCCCUCCUCCUUUUUAUAACCAUAGGAUCUGGAUUGACAGAGCAGGACCACCACCUUGUUGGAACAACCCCUCAUUCUAAAGCUGACCUCAAUAAAAAACUGCUUAAAUCCAAAGGGUGUCAGCCUAAUGGCUAAGGUCAGCAUGACCAUAAACCACAGAUAACUUCUCUAACCAGAAACAUUCCAAACUCCUCCCCAACCAGAGAUAGGGUAGUCCUGAGAUAAACUCUGCUCUGGCUGGGAAAAUGCUAGCCCUGAGAUAACCCCCUUCUUGGUCAGAAAGAUGUCUGCCCCAAGAUAACCUUACCUCCUGCCAGAGAGAUUCCAACUCCGCUAUAAACUUCUCCACACACAUAAACAUUCCAAGCUUGUGAUAAGCCCCCUCAACCUAAAAGUGAUAUAUACUCAGCUUUUAAGAGAAAGUACUCCUGACUGAAAUUGGCCAGAAGCACCUCUCAGGUUUCCUCUAAAGAAAACCUGUCUUUACCUGCCAGCCGCAUUUCUUGUUUCUUUCCUCUUUAACUCCUACAGAAAUAAAAGCACAACAAGGUUUUCUUAAGAUUUCAAUGUGCUUUUUAGAAAAUCUUGUGAAGAGUUAUAAAAGGUACAUGAAAAUCUCACAUCAUGAUCAAACUGGUUAAAAUUGAAUAGGAUUACCUAUAAGCUUUCAUUAAAAAUUGGGGUUAACCAUUAAUAGUAAAAUAAUGCAAGGGUGAAAUUUAACUUGCUUGAACAGGGUUUUCAUGUAAUAGUAAAGACUGAUGAAUGGUUUUUGGCUUUUCAAAUUUUGACUCAUCAUUUUGGCAAGACAAAUAACUAUGUUAAUCUAAAAUUGUAUUUCAUAACAUCAAGUGUUUUAAAUUUCAAAUAUAUUUAACAGGCUUACCAAAAUCAAACUACAGUCUCAAGGUUGUCUUUCAUGACCUAGGGGUUUGGGUGCUACCGAGGACCCCUGGAGCAUCCAGAAGAGAGUUAAACAGGAUUAUUUAACAUGUUUGCAUACAUGAUGUCAGGCCUCUGAGCCCAAGCUAAGCCAUUAUAUUCCCUGUGACAUGAACGUAUACAUCCAGAUGGCUGAAAACAACUGAAGAUCCACAAAAGAAGUGAAAAUAGCCUUAACUGAUGACAUUCCAUGAUUGUGAAGUUUCUACCCCACCCUAACCGAUCAAUGUACUUUGUAAUCUCCCCCACCAUUAAGAAGGUUCUUUGUAAUUCUCCCGACCCCUGAGAAUAUACUUUGUGAGAUCCACCCACUGCCCACAAAACAUUUCUCCUAACUCCACCGUCUAUCCCAAAAGCUAUAAGAACUAAUGAUAAUUCCACCACCCUUUGCUGACUCUCUUUUUGGACUCAGCUCACCUGCACCCUGGUGAAAUAAACAGCCUGUUGCUCACACAAAGCUUGUUUGGUGACCUCUUCACAUGGAUGUAUGAGACACAUGCAAUUGCCAAAAUGAUAUUUAAUAUUUUCCAGGUUAUAUUUUGGGCAAUAAUAUUAACAUAUAUUUCAAAAUCAUAUAGGAUUUCUAAGGUUCUAGUAUCUGAACAUGUGCUAUUAAUCACAAUUAAGUGUGUUAAGUUGGUUUAUGGUGAACCAUAAAAAUAACCAAAUUUGUCCAACAUGUUCUUGACUGUAACUACCCUGGAAAUUUUGUCAUUUACUGACAAUUUUUGUCUUGUUUCAAUCUUCUUCUUCUUAAAAAAAAAUAGAUUAUAAUCAGCUGUAGAACUUUAACAGGGAUUCUUUCAAAUGCUGGUUUCUAAUAACAGAAAAACUUACAGGACACAUGAAAAGUAGAAACUGAACUAGUAGAAAACUAAAGCAAUAUUCUUGACUUAUGCUUGGAACAUUGCUGAUUCUUAUUUUGUUUUUCAGAGUCAAGGACACUUGUCUUGAGCUAGCUACACCCUUUCACAACUCAGUAAGGAGUGAAGACUGAUUUUGCAGAGCCAAUAAAGGCCCCUGGGGAAACUGGCCUCAUAUCUUGUCAUGAAGAUUUUAUACAGGUUUCCUAACCUGUGUGCUCACUGCUGCAAAGAAGAACAAGCACACAGGCAAAAAGUUUUCCCAGCAAGAAUGCCAGGGUGAAAGGAAAGAUCAAUUGGACCAGAGCACAAGUGCUGCUCCAGUUACUUGGCAGAGUACCUAAUAGUGAUCCACCACAAUACCACCAUAUAUCUGUUUGGGAAUAAACAAGGGCAAGUUGACUGCUUAAGAGUGAUGACAUGCAACUCAGUCUCUUGCAACACCACCUGAGAAAAGGAAGCACUAGCAGGAAGAACAAAUUGAUGGAGAGGAAAAGUGAUGAAUACAGAUAAGAAGCACAGCUGGUGGAGGCUCAUGUGCCAGUUUACUGGGCCUCAGGACAUUCUCCUCUAGAAGGAGGAGACAGCAUGACCCCCACUUUCUUUUAUUUUAUUAUAAUUUAAGUUUUAGGGUACAUGAGCACAAUGUGCAGGUUAGUUACAUAUGUAUA
rnacentral:lncRNA from 1 species